rnacentral:rRNA from 1 species
GAUGAACGCUGGCGGCGUGCCUAAUACAUGCAAGUCGAGCGAACGGACGAGAAUCUUGCUUCUCUUAUGUUAUCGGCGGACGGGUGAGUAACACGUGGAUAACCUACCUAUAAGACUGGGAUAACUUCGGGAAACCGGAGCUAAUACCGUAUAAUAUUUUGAACCGCAUGGUUCAAAAGUGAAAGACGGUCUUGCUGUCACUUAUAGAUGUAUCCGCGCUGCAUUAGCUAGUUGUUAAGGUAACGGCUUACCAAGGCAACGAUGCAUAGCCGACCUGAGAGGGUGAUCGGCAACACUGGAACUGAGACACGGUCCAGACUCCUACGGGAGGCAGCAGUAGGGAAUCUUCCGCAAUGGGCGAAAGCCUGACGGAGCAACGCCGCGUGAGUGAUGAAGGUCUUCGGAUCGUAAAACUCUGUUAUUAGGGAAGAACAUAUGUGUAAGUAACUGUGCACAUCUUGACGGUACCUAAUCAGAAAGCCACGGCUAACUACGUG